UACGUAGGGGGCGAGCGUUGUCCGGAUUUAUUGGGCGUAAAGAGCUCGUAGGCGGUUCGAUAAGUCGGCUGUGAAAUCUCCACGCUUAACGUGGAGGGGUCAGUCGAUACUGUCGUGACUCGAGUCCGGUAGGGGAGAAUGGAAUUCCCGGUGUAGCGGUGAAAUGCGCAGAGAUCGGGAGGAACACCCGUAGCGAAGGCGGUUCUCUGGGCCGGUACUGACGCUGAGGAGCGAAAGCGUGGGGAGCAAACAGG
rnacentral:rRNA from 1 species